UGGGGAAUAUUGCACAAUGGAGGGAACUCUGAUGCAGCGACGCCGCGUGAACGAAGAAGGCUUUCGAGUCGUAAAGUUCUUUUAUAUGGGAAGAUAAUGACGGUACCAUAAGAAAAAGCCCCGGCUAACUACGUGCCAGCAGCCGCGGUAAUACGUAGGCGGCAAGCGUUGUCCGGAAUUAUUGGGCGUAAAGCGCGCGCAGGUGGUUUAGAAAGUCUGAUGUGAAAGCCCACGGCUCAACCGUGGAGGGUCAUUGGAAACUAAUAAACUUGAGUGCAGGAGAGAAAAGUGGAAUUCCUAGUGUAGCGGUGAAAUGCGUAGAGAUUAGGAGGAACACCGGUGGCGAAAGCGGCUUUUUGGCCUGCAACUGACACUGAGGCGCGAAAGCGUGGGGAGCAAACAGG
rnacentral:rRNA from 1 species